AACGAACGCUGGCGGCAUGCCUAACACAUGCAAGUCGAACGAGACCUUCGGGUCUAGUGGCGCACGGGUGCGUAACGCGUGGGAACCUGCCUUUAGGUUCGGAAUAACUCAGAGAAAUUUGAGCUAAUACCGGAUGAUGUCUUCGGACCAAAGAUUUAUCGCCUUUAGAUGGGCCCGCGUUGGAUUAGCUAGUUGGUGGGGUAAAGGCCUACCAAGGCGACGAUCCAUAGCUGGUCUGAGAGGAUGAUCAGCCACACUGGGACUGAGACACGGCCCAAACUCCUACGGGAGGCAGCAGUGGGGAAUAUUGGACAAUGGGCGAAAGCCUGAUCCAGCAAUGCCGCGUGAGUGAUGAAGGCCUUAGGGUUGUAAAGCUCUUUUACCCGAGAUGAUAAUGACAGUAUCGGGAGAAUAAGCUCCGGCUAACUCCGUG
rnacentral:rRNA from 1 species